AGUCUCUAUGGGGCGCUAUGGGGCACUAUGGGGCAGGUCCCUAUGGGGCGCUGUGGGGCGCUGUGGGGUGACUGUGUGUCCCAUAGGGAAUGCGGCGCUUUGAGGCCCUAUGGGACGCUAUGGGGCAGGUCCCUAUGGGGCGCUAUGGGGUGACUGUGUGCCCCAUAGGGAAUGCGGCGCUUUGAGACCCUAUGGGGCGCUGUGGGGCAGGUCCCUAUGGGGCGCUGUGGGGCGCUGUGGGGUGACUGUGUGCCCCAUAGGGAAUGCGGCGCUUUGAGGCCCUAUGGGGCGCUAUGGGGCAGGUCUCUAUGGGGCGCUGUGGGGCGCUGUGGGGUGACUGUGUGCCCCAUAGGGAAUGCGGCGCUUUGAGGCCCUAUGGGGCGCUAUGGGGCAGGUCUCUAUGGGGCGCUGUGGGGCGCUGUGGGGCGCUGUGGGGUGACUGUGUGCCCCAUAGGGAAUGCGGCGCUUUGAGGCCCUAUGGGGCGCUGUGGGGCAGGUCUCUAUGGGGCGCUGUGGGGCCCUAUGGGGCGCUGUGGGGCAGGUCUCUAUGGGGUGCUAUGGGGCAGGUCUCUAUGGGGCGCUAUGGGGCACUAAGAGGCAGG
ensembl:lncRNA